rnacentral:rRNA from 1 species
CCUUUAGAGAUAGAGGAGUGCUCGAAAGAGAGCCGUAACACAGGUGCUGCAUGGCUGUCGUCAGCUCGUGUCGUGAGAUGUUGGGUUUAAGUCCCGCAACGAGCGCAACCCUUGUCAUUAGUUGCUACGAAAGGGCACUCUAAUGAGACUGCCGGUGACAAACCGGAGGAAGGUGGGGAUGACGUCAAGUCCUCAUGGCCCUUAUAGGUGGGGCUACACACGUCAUACAAUGGCUGGUACAAAGGGUUGCCAACCCGCGAGGGGGGAGCCAAUCCCAUAAAGCCAGUCGUAGUCCGGAUCGCAGUCUGCAACUCGACUGCGUGAAGUCGGAAUCGCUAGUAAUCGUGAAUCAGAAUGUCACGGUGAAUACGUUCCCGGGCCUU